CCUUCGCGACGCCGACGCCCGCAUGACACCCGACGGGCCGUGAGGCCGCGGGCUCAAGACGAGCACGACAGUCGUUCGCGUCGAGGGACAAAUGCGUUGCUCGGGCAAACGGAGUCCCGAAAGACCCCACGCCCGCGCGUAACGUUCUGCAUCCGCGAGAACGGGCAGAGCACACCGUGGGCCGAGGCAGCCGAGCGGCUUGCCGGGGACACGGGGCGUGCCUUAUGUCCACCCCGCAACCCGCGAGGGCUGGGGGCGGAGAGGGACGACCGAGACCGUCGGAUUCCUUUCGACAGGUAAGCAACACAGGAAUACCGAAA
rnacentral:misc_RNA from 1 species